UAGGGAAUCUUCCGCAAUGGGCGAAAGCUUGACGGAGCAACGCCGCGUGAGUGAUGAAGGUCUUCGGAUCGUAAAACUCUGUUAUGAGGGAAGAACAAAUGUGGAAGUAACUAUGCACGUCUUGACGGUACCUAAUCAGAAAGCCACGGCUAACUACGUGCCAGCAGCCGCGGUAAUACGUAGGUGGCAAGCGUUAUCCGGAAUUAUUGGGCGUAAAGCGCGCGUAGGCGGUUUUUUAAGUCUGAUGUGAAAGCCCACGGCUCAACCGUGGAGGGUCAUUGGAAACUGGAACACUUGAGUGCAGAAGAGGAAAGUGGAAUUCCAUGUGUAGCGGUGAAAUGCGCAGUGAUAUGGAGGAACACCAGUGGCGAAGGCGACUUUCUGGUCUGUAACUGACGCUGAUGUGCGAAAGCGUGGGGAUCAAACAGG
rnacentral:rRNA from 1 species